AAACUAACAAGGAUUCCCCUAGUAACGGCGAGUGAAGUGGGAAAAGCUCAACUUUGAAAUCUGGCACCUUCGGUGUCCGAAUUGUAGUCUCUAGAAGUGUUUUCCGUGCUGGCCCAUGUGUGAGUCUGUUGGAACACAGCGUCAUAGAGGGUGACAACCCCGUUCAUAACAUGGACCCCAGUGCUUUGUGAUACACUCUCGACGAGUCGAGUUGUUUGGGAAUGCAGCUCAAAUUGGGUGGUAAAUUCCAUCUAAAGCUAAAUAUUGGCGAGAGACCGAUAGCAAACAAGUACCGUGAGGGAAAGAUGAAAAGCACUUUGGAAAGAGAGUUAACAGUACGUGAAAUUGCUAAAAGGGAAACGAUUGAAGUCAGACGUGCGUGGUGCGGUUCAGCUCUGGUUCGCCAGAGUGUAUUCCGUGCCUUUGCAGGCCAACAUCGGUUUCACGAGGCGGAUAAAGGUUUGAGAAAUGUGGCACCUUCGGGUGUGUUAUAGUCUCUUGCUGAAUACGCCUCGAGGGACCGAGGAACGCAGCGCGCCGCAAGGCAAAGCCUCUGGGCUUUUCGCGCUUAGGAUGUUGGUGAAAUGGCUUUAAACGACC
rnacentral:rRNA from 1 species